rnacentral:lncRNA from 1 species
UGCUAUCAAUAAUGAUUAAAAAAAAAAAUUAAACUAAGAAUUAGGAGUUGCAGUAUGAAAACCAGUUGAUAGACAAGUAUCCAUUGAAAUUAGAACUGUCAAAGAACAUUACAUAUCAGGUCUUCAAAGAUGGAUAAAGGUCCAUAUUAUAAGUUUGUUCUAAGUGGACACUGGCAAACCCUUUAAAUAUGAAAUAACUAUAUAGAUAAUGAAGAAAAAAACAAAAUUCAAUUCCCAAGAUACUGUGGUUGGUUCAAAAAAAACAAUACUGCACAUGAAUACAGGACGUCAUAAAAGCCCUCACAAUAUACAAAUAAAAACGUCACUGGGCAUUAGCAUACAACAAUCAACUUUAAACUAAUACCUUUGAUCCAUAACAUUUCUGUUACCAUAUUAAACAGAGGGGUUGGUUGUACUCCGAUUUGCAAUUUUAUACACCUGCAAUCAAAGUUUUGGAGAUAUAUAGGAAGCCCAAUGCCUUUAGUUUGCCUCAACAAAAAAGUUAUGAAACUUACACACACUGCUUAUUACCACAAACAUAUCAACUUUGAAUUUUAAUGGUUCACUUUUACCAUUCUAGAGUUAUGCCUCUUCACAAAUGUAAAGAUAGCUGAAUUUGCCUCAUACACAUGUAAUGAAACUCAUACACAAUGC